rnacentral:rRNA from 1 species
UACGGGGGGAGCAAGCGUUGUUCGGAUUUACUGGGCGUAAAGGGCGCGUAGGCGGCCACCGCAAGUCGACUGUGAAAUCUCCGGGCUUAACCCGGAAAGGUCAGCCGAUACUGCGGGGCUAGAGUGCAGAAGGGGCAACUGGAAUUCUCGGUGUAGCGGUGAAAUGCGUAGAUAUCGGGAGGAACACCAAUGGCGAAGGCAGCUCGCUGGGACGUUACUGACGCUGAGACGCGAAAGCGUGGGGAGCAAACAGG